CAAGUUAUUUCUUAGUGAUAAAUGUUAUUUACAAUAACGUUUUGGUUUGUGCAAUUCAGCCUAACUUGA
rnacentral:tRNA from 1 species